rnacentral:tRNA from 1 species
ACUUAAAUAAUUUAAAUAAAAUAUUGAUUUGUGGUGUCAAAAAUAUGCAUAAGCUUCAUUUUAAGUU